rnacentral:sRNA from 1 species
GAGGAGGCUGCGUCUGGCUCCCGCUCUCACAGCCAUUGCAGUACAUUGAGCUCCAUAGAGACAGCGCCGGGGCAAGUGAGAGCCGGACGGGCACUGGGCGAUUCUGUGCCUCGCUGAGGAAAAAUAACUAAACAUGGGCAAAGGAGAUCCUAAGAAGCCGAGAGGCAAAAUGUCAUCAUAUGCAUUUUUUGUGCAAACUUGUCGGGAGGAGCAUAAGAAGAAGCACCCAGAUGCUUCAGUCAACUUCUCAGAGUUUUCUAAGAAGUGCUCAGAGAGGUGGAAGGUAAGAGGGCUUAAAACAUGCUAACAAGGUAAUUAAAAGACAGUUUCCAAUUGAGGAUACAAAAAAAAGCCUAGUUGGCGUUCUCAUAGUGGGACGCUAUUACAUAGCAAAAGACAUUGGUUUUGAGGAUAAUUUACUUAAAUGUUACAACUUAAACUUACAAAUAAUUGUUUUGUAGACCAUGUCUGCUAAAGAGAAAGGAAAAUUUGAAGAUAUGGCA